rnacentral:rRNA from 1 species
CGUGGGGGGGCUAUCUGCAGUCGUACGAACUUCCGUUAAUUGAUUAUGACGUACUUGUACUGAUUGAGAUUUUAACACGAAGUGAGUGGCGAACGGGUGAGUAACACGUGGGUAACCUGCCCAGAAGUAGGGGAUAACACCUGGAAACAGAUGCUAAUACCGUAUAACAGAGAAAACCGCAUGGUUUUCUUUUAAAAGAUGGCUCUGCUAUCACUUCUGGAUGGACCAGCGGCGUAUUAGCUAGUUGGUGAGGUAAAGGCUCACCAAGGCAGUGAUACGUAGCCGACCUGAGAGGGUAAUCGGCCACAUUGGGACUGAGACACGGCCCGACUCCUACGGGAGGCAGCAGUAGGGAAUCUUCCACAAUGGACGCAAGUCUGAUGGAGCAACGCCGCGUGAGUGAAGAAGGGUUUCGGCUCGUAAAGCUCUGUUGUUAAAGAAGAACGUGGGUAAGAGUAACUGUUUACCCAGUGACGGUAUUUAACCAGAAAGCCACGGCUAACUACGUGCCAGCAGCCGCGGUAAUACGUAGGUGGCAAGCGUUAUCCGGAUUUAUUGGGCGUAAAGCGAGCGCAGGCGGUCUUUUAAGUCUAAUGUGAAAGCCUUCGGCUCAACCGAAGAAGUGCAUUGGAAACUGGGAGACUUGAGUGCAGAAGAGGACAGUGGAACUCCAUGUGUAGCGGUGAAAUGCGUAGAUAUAUGGAAGAACACCAGUGGCGAAGGCGGCUGUCUGGUCUGCAACUGACGCUGAGGCUCGAAAGCAUGGGUAGCGAACAGGAUUAGAUACCCUGGUAGUCCAUGCCGUAAACGAUGAUUACUAAGUGUUGGAGGGUUUCCGCCCUUCAGUGCUGCAGCUAACGCAUUAAGUAAUCCGCCUGGGGAGUACGACCGCAAGGUUGAAACUCAAAAGAAUUGACGGGGGCCCGCACAAGCGGUGGAGCAUGUGGUUUAAUUCGAAGCUACGCGAAGAACCUUACCAGGUCUUGACAUCUUCUGACAGU